UUUUGUAUAGCUCAGUUGGUAGGGCAUGAGACUGUUAAUUUCAGGGUUGUGGGUUCGAGUCCCACAUUGGGCAAAAA